GACCUGUCUCUAAUCGACAUCGCAUUCUCUGGGGAGCCAGGCUGUGAGCUAAUGUGGAAGGUAGUUUGUGGGAUUAUCUCCCUUUCCUAUAACUGGGAGGUUGAGGUGAUUUGUUCAAGGUCGCUCAGAGGCAGCCAAGAAAAGAACCCAGCACUCAAGAUUCUAGGCCCUUGACUGCAUGGCCUUGCAGGUGAAUACCACAAAUCAAGGCUGCGUUCAGGUGUUAACACGUGCUAACGCCAGACAAGAGCUCAGAUGACUCUGGGGGUGUUUGUCAGGUCUCCAUGACAUUCUACAAGAGAGCUUUUUUCUUCUGAUGAUUUUUUUUAUUUGCAGUGUUUCGUUUUUAAUCAUCUUACGGCUGUGUGAUCAUUUCAGUCACUGCUGGAAUCUUCACUCCUCCCUCCUUACUUGAUGGUCAGCUGCAUAAAACUUUUCAGGAGAAGAGAUAUAAGGAAAAGUAAAGUGUCAUGGGCUUUACUCAGAGGACCAGGUCAAUCUGGCAGUUUAGCCUUCCCAGGCUUAAUGACAUAGUUCGUAACACUAAAAGUAAAGUUGUUAGGACAAAAAUAAUUCUGUCGUUGCACAAAAAAAGUUGGGAAUGCCUGUGCCAAAUAAAAGGAUUAUAUAUCCA
ensembl:lncRNA novel transcript